rnacentral:rRNA from 1 species
ACUCAAAUGAAUAGACGGGGGCCCGCACAAGCGGCGGAGCAUGUUGCUUAAUUCGAGGCGACGCGAAGAACCUUACCUGGGCUUGACAUUACGGGAAAAGCCGUAGAGAUACGGUGUCCUUCGGGGCCCGUAACAGGUGGUGCAUGGCUGUCGUCAGCUCGUGUCGUGAGAUGUUGGGUUAAGUCCCGCAACGAGCGCAACCCUUGUCCUAUGUUGCCAGCGGAUAAUGCCGGGGACUCGUAGGAGACUGCCGGGGUCAACUCGGAGGAAGGUGGGGACGACGUCAAGUCAUCAUGCCCCUUAUGUCCAGGGCUGCAAACAUGCUACAAUGGCCGGUACAAAGGGCUGCUAUCCCGCGAGGGUGAGCGAAUCCCAUAAAGCCGGUCUCAGUUCGGAUCGAAGUCUGCAACUCGACUUCGUGAAGCCGGAGUCGCUAGUAAUCCCGGAUCAGCACGCCGGGGUGAAUACGUUCCCGGGCCUUGCACACACCGCCCGU